GCGGCAGGCUUAACACAUGCAAGUCGAACGCUGUAGCAAUACAGAGUGGCAGACGGGUGAGUAACGCGUGGGAACGUGCCUUUCGGUUCGGAAUAACUCAGGGAAACUUGAGCUAAUACCGGAUACGCCCUUCGGGGGAAAGAUUUAUUGCCGAAAGAUCGGCCCGCGUCCGAUUAGCUAGUUGGUGAGGUAAUGGCUCACCAAGGCGACGAUCGGUAGCUGGUCUGAGAGGAUGAUCAGCCACACUGGGACUGAGACACGGCCCAGACUCCUACGGGAGGCAGCAGUGGGGAAUAUUGGACAAUGGGCGCAAGCCUGGUCCAGCCAUGCCGCGUGAGUGAUGAAGGCCCUAGGGUUGUAAAGCUCUUUCGCCAGGGACGAUAAUGACGGUACCUGGAUAAGAAGCCCCGGCUAACUUCGUGCCA
rnacentral:rRNA from 1 species